rnacentral:rRNA from 1 species
GACGAACGCUGGCGGCGUGCUUAACACAUGCAAGUCGAACGGAAAGGCCCUGCUUUUGUGGGGUGCUCGAGUGGCGAACGGGUGAGUAACACGUGAGUAACCUGACCUUGACUUUGGGAUAACUUCAGGAAACUGGGGCUAAUACCGGAUAGGAGCUCCUGCUGCAUGGUGGGGGUUGGAACGUUUCGGCGGUUGGGGAUGGACUCGCGGCUUAUCAGCUUGUUGGUGGGGUAGUGGCUUACCAAGGCUUUGACGGGUAGCCGGCCUGAGAGGGUGACCGGCCACAUUGGGACUGAGAUACGGCCCAGACUCCUACGGGAGGCAGCAGUGGGGAAUAUUGCACAAUGGGCGGAAGCCUGAUGCAGCAACGCCGCGUUCGGGAUGACGGCCUUCGGGUUGUAAACCGCUUUCGCCUGUGACGAAGCGUGAGUGACGGUAAUGGGUAAAGAAGCACCGGCUAACUACGUG